rnacentral:rRNA from 1 species
ACGGGGAGCAGCAGGCGCGAAAACUUUACAAUGCCGGCAACGGCGUUAAGGGGACCUCGAGUGCCAGGUUACAAAUCUGGCUGUCGUGAUGCCUAAAAAGCAUUGCAUAGCAAGGGCCGGGCAAGACCGGUGCCAGCCGCCGCGGUAACACCGGCGGCUCGAGUGGUAACCGUUAUUAUUGGGUCUAAAGGGUCUGUAGCCGGCCGGAUAAGUCUCUUGGGAAAUCCAGCAGCUUAACUGUUGGGCUUUCAGGAGAUACUGUCUGGCUCGAGGCCGGGAGAGGUGAGAGGUACUUCAGGGGUAGGGGUGAAAUCUUGUAAUCCUUGAAGGACCCCCAGUGGCGAAGGCGUCUCACCAGAACGGACCUGACGGCAAGGGACGAAAGCUAGGGGCACGAACCCCGAUUAGAUACCCCGGGUAGCCCCUAGCCGUAAACCGAUACUCGCUAGGUGUCCGCCACCCGUGCCACCCGUUGUCCGGUGCCGUAGGGAAGCCGUGAAGCGAGCCCCCCUGGGAAGUACGGCCGCCAGGGCUGAAACUUAAAGGAAUUGGCGGGGGGAGCAC